GACGAACGCUGGCGGCGUGCUUAACACAUGCAAGUCGAACGGAAAGGCCUCUUUCGGGGGGUACUCGAGUGGCGAACGGGUGAGUAACACGUGAGUAACCUGCCCUUGUCUUUUGGAUAACUUCAGGAAACUGGGGCUAAUACCGGACAGCAGCUCCUGCUGCAUGGUGGGUGUUGGAAAGUUUCGGCGGGUGGGGGUGGGGUCGCCGCUCAUCAGCUUGUUGGGGGGGUAGUGGCCUACCAAGGCUUCGGGGGGUCGGCCGGCUGGGGGGGUGGCCGGCCAACUUGGGGCUGGGAUACGGCCCAGACUCCUACGGGGGGGAGGAGGGGGGAAAUAUGGACAAUGGGGGGGAGGCUGGUGGAGCAAAGCCGGGUGCGGGGUGAAGGGCUUCGGGUUGGAAACCGCUUUCGCGCAGGAAGGAACUUUGUGUGACGGUAGUGGGUGAAGAAGCACCGGCUAACUACGUG
rnacentral:rRNA from 1 species